CAAUAGCGUAUAUUUAAGUUGUUGCAGUUAAAAAGCUCGUAGUUGGAUUUCGGGUGGGACGCAGCGGUCUCGCAUUGCGUUUGUACUGCUGCAGCCCUCCUUCUUGCCGGGGGCGGCCUCUCGGACUUCACUGUCUGGGGGUCAGAAUCGGCGAUGUUACUUUGAGUAAAUUAGAGUGUUCAAAGCAAGCUUACGCUCUGAAUAUAAUAGCAUGGGAUAACACGACAGGACUCUGGCCUAUCGUGUUGGUCUAUAGGACCAGAGUAAUGAUUAAGAGGGACAGUCGGGGGCAUUCGUAUUCCGUCGUCAGAGGUGAAAUUCUUGGAUUUACGGAAGACGAACAUCUGCGAAAGCAUUUGCCAAGGAUGUUUUCAUUGA
rnacentral:rRNA from 1 species